AAAUAUCGAUUAGUUAUCCACACUCUGUCAUCAACGAAGAUACAGACGCCAUUUAACUGUUACUGAUUAUUUCGAAAAUUAUCGCCUUUGUUUUACUUUGUCAACGGAAAACGAUCGAAAAACGUGCUUGGAAUAAUUUUGGAAUCAAUUAGUGGAUCAUCGGUUGAGACUUUACUGCGAAAUGUUCUUGUUGGGCCACCAAACGGAAGAAUUUCAUGGCCUCAUCAAGGUUGAGUUGGUCACGAUGAAUGCAAUCCCAGCGGAUGAGGAACUCACUCCAUUUCCUGCCCUUUUGGUUGUAACCAGUCAUAAAGUUUACUUUCUUCGGAUUACAGGAUCACCCAGCAGUGAGCAGCCAGAAAAGUGGCUCAAUUUGGAAACAAGUUACCCGCUUAAUCAACUAGUUAACAUGUUGAUCGUCAUCGGUAACCAAGGUGUAGUUCGCUCAAGUUCGGAACGAGUUGGUCUCACCUCAUUUUGCUUCGUGAUCAAAGACGAACCAAGAAUGUGACUCACUUUCUCACUGAUAUUAUUGAGAAAUCCGGAUUGACUGUUCCACCCUUACGGACGGAUCUCAUGGCGGAUCAAUGACUGGCAUUGGAUGGACUCGUCAGAGGAGAUCAGUCUGACAGUGUUUCGACGGGAUCUGCGGAUGAUGGUGAAACGGACCGUGUUGUAGGAUCUACGAGGACGAGUACCCGAUUCAUGCCGGAUAGCAAUUCUCGCGUCUUCCUCUUUUGUGUAAACUGCCGGGUCGAAUGGGGCAAUAGUAAGCAGCAACAAAAUCACCAGCAAACGGCCAGUUAUAGCAACACAGCCUUGAUGGUCACAAGUGAUCGUAUGGCAUUAGUACAGUAUCCUGCAUAUAAAUCCGAACACCUUGGUAUCUUUCUUCAUUUAAAAAAAAUAUUUCUGCAUUUUUUUCUUAAUUCUAAUAAAUGAACUUUGUAAAACAA